GGAGAGGUGGCCGAGUGGUUGAAGGCGCUCGCCUGGAAAGCGGGUGUACUGUAACAGGUACCGUGAGUUCGAAUCUCAUCCUCUCCGCCA
rnacentral:tRNA from 1 species